CCAGCUCCACUCAUGCGGUUGUGAUCUACGUUCGCAUCGGAGGCGCACCUGUGGCUCUCCUGCCACUCUUCUGCAAAGGAUGCUGGGAACAGUACUAGCACUGGCGUCAUACGGUCAAAGAUGGCCUGGGAGUUGGUAUAUCGUGUAUGGCUCAGGAAUGUUCCCUGCAGAUGCCAGAAGACUUCGUCCUGUCGCUGCUGCCAGGAGAGGAGCUGAAGGACAAAUACAGACGCUACCUCUUCAGAGACUACGUCGAGAGUCACUUCCAGUUGCAGUUGUGUCCGGGUGCAGACUGUCCCAUGGUGAUCAAGGUGCAGGAGCCACGGGCGCGCAGGGUGCAGUGCAGCCGCUGCAGCGAAGUCU